rnacentral:rRNA from 1 species
GACGAAUGCUGGCGGCGUGCCUAAUACAUGCAAGUUGAGCGAUGAAGGUUGGUGCUUGCACCAAUUUGAAGAGCAGCGAACGGGUGAGUAUCGCGUGGGGAAUCUGCCUUUGAGCGGGGGACAACAUUUGGAAACGAAUGCUAAUACCGCAUAACAACUUUAAACAUAAGUUUUAAGUUUGAAAGAUGCAAUUGCAUCACUCAAAGAUGAUCCCGGGUCGUAUUAGCUAGUUGGUGAGGUAAAGGCUCACCAAGGCGAUGAUACAUAGCCGACCUGAGAGGGUGAUCGGCCACAUUGGGACUGAGAAACGGCCCAAACUCCUACGGGAGGCAGCAGUAGGGAAUCUUCGGCAAUGGACGAAAGUCUGACCGAGCAACGCCGCGUGAGUGAAGAAGGUUUUCGGAUCGUAAAACUUUGUUGGUAGAGAAGAACGUUGGUGAGAGUGGAAAGCUCAUCAAGUGACGGUAACUACCCAGAAAGGGACGGCUAACUACGUGCCAGCCGCCGCCGUAA